rnacentral:rRNA from 1 species
CCUACGGGUGGCAGCAGUGGGGAAUAUUGGACAAUGGGCGAAAGCCUGAUCCAGCCAUGCCGCGUGUGUGAAGAAGGCCUUCGGGUUGUAAAGCACUUUCAGUGGGGAAGAAAGCCUUGGGGCUAAUACCCUCGAGGAAGGACAUCACCCACAGAAGAAGCACCGGCUAACUCCGUGCCAGCAGCCGCGGUAAUACGGAGGGUGCGAGCGUUAAUCGGAAUUACUGGGCGUAAAGCGCGCGUAGGCGGUCUGAUAAGCCGGUUGUGAAAGCCCCGGGCUCAACCUGGGAACGGCAUCUGGAACUGUCAGGCUAGAGUGCAGGAGAGGAAGGUAGAAUUCCCGGUGUAGCGGUGAAAUGCGUAGAGAUCGGGAGGAAUACCAGUGGCGAAGGCGGCCUUCUGGACUGACACUGACGCUGAGGUGCGAAAGCGUGGGUAGCAAACAGGAUUAGAUACCCCUGUAGUC